UACAGAGGGGGCAAGCGUUGUUCGGAAUUACUGGGCGUAAAGGGCGCGUAGGCGGCCUUCUAAGUCGAACGUGAAAUCCCCGGGCUCAACCCGGGAACUGCGUCCGAUACUGGAAGGCUUGAAUCCGGGAGAGGGAUGCGGAAUUCCAGGUGUAGCGGUGAAAUGCGCAGAUAUCAGGAGGAACACCGGUGGCGAAGGCGGGUCUCUGGGCAACAACUGACGCUGAGGAGCGAAAGCGUGGGGAGCGAACAGG
rnacentral:rRNA from 1 species